rnacentral:rRNA from 1 species
UACGGGGGGGGCAAGCGUUGUUCGGAAUUACUGGGCGUAAAGGGCUCGUAGGCGGCCAACUAAGUCGGAUGUGAAAUCCCCAGGCUCAACUUGGGAACUGCAUCCGAUACUGGAUGGCUUGAAUUCGGGAGAGGGAUGCAGAACUCCAGGUGUAGCGGUGAAAUGCGUAGAUAUCUGGAGGAAUACCGGUGGCGAAGGCGGAAUCCUGGACCGACACUGACGCUGAGUGAGCGAAAGCCAGGGGAGCAAACGGG